rnacentral:rRNA from 1 species
GACGAACGCUGGCGGCGUGCUUAACACAUGCAAGUCGAACGGAAAGGCCCCUUUGGGGGUACUCGAGUGGCGAACGGGGGAGUAACACGCGAGUAACCUCCCCUUGACUUCGGGAUAACGUCAGGAAACCGGGGCUAAUACCGGAGAGGAAUCCUUGCUGCAUGGUGGGGGUUGGAAAGCUUCGGCGGUUUUGGAUGGACUUGCGGCCUAUCAGCUUGUUGGUGGGGUAGCGGCUUAGCAAGGCUGAGGCGGGUAGCCGGCCUGGGAGGGCGACCGGCCACAGUGAGACUGGGACACGGCCCCGGCUCCUACGGGUGGCAGCAGUAGCGAAGAGUGCUAAAUGGGCGGGGGCCUGAUGCAGCAACACCGCGGGCGGGAUGACGGCCUUCGGGUUGUGAUCCGAAUUCAGCAGGAGCGAAGCUUGUAGUGACGGUACCUGCAGAAGAAGCACCGGCUAACUACGUG